UGAAGGUCCUACUGUGUGCCAGG
rnacentral:miRNA from 1 species